UGCACUUUAAAGGAGGGGUUUGGGAUAUUGGCAGUUUGGGGGGAUAUGUUGUGUAUCUUAUACGUAUAUGCUUCUAAACUGUUGUAUUCUGAGCACCUCUGCACAAACAGUGAUAAUGUGUGAGUGUGGUGAAAGUGUUGAAUGAUGAUGAAAGUAUUUUCUUUUUGGGGAUUUUCUUUCUUUUUUGGGUCACCCUGCCUCGGUGGGAGAUGGCCGACUUGUUGAAAAAAAAAAAAUACUAUAUAAUAAUACACCUACCAUCCGACUUACGACCUGAUCGACUUACGACCACUCGACUUGCGACCGUGUUUUUUAUGCCAAAUUUCUGGGAAAUAAACAACUAUUUGUGUUGUACACAGUGUUUAUCCUAAACUUUAGAGUAUAAAAUACAGUACUAACAGCAUAAAAAGUAAAGUAAAACAUGAAAUACCAAAAUAAAACAAUAAAAUAAAGUCAUUACAAAAAUGUUUUGUUGAUAUUCAGUAGUAAAGUUCGACUUACAACCAUUUCGACUUACGACCGGUUUCUUGGAACCGAACUCGGUCGUAAGUCGGAUGGUAGGUGUAAUAUAAUAUAAUAUGUGAUAGUACAAUAAUAAUUAUAAUAAUUCUAUGUACGUACUGCAUAUAAUUUAGUUUGACAACAACACCACAAUGCUUACCAUUGCACAAGUGCUUAUCGGAGCUACCCUUGCAGUGCAGAGAAUUCUCGUGAUUUCCUAACAUGUCGUGCAGUUAAUUCACCAGAUUUCUUUCUUCUAACCGUGGGGCCUAAGAAAGCAAGUGCAAAGGACAGUGCUGAGAAGAAAAAGAGGAUGACUCACGAAAUCGUAAUGACACAAUUGCAAACAAACCAUUCCAUGGGCGGGAUUUGAACCCACGGUCAAAGAGUCAAAACUCCAGACCGUUGCGUUAGCCACUGGGCCAGCUAGCUUCAAUAAGAUUCGUCCAGCUAGGUAUAUUUCUACAACAUAGGAAGGUUAGCAUAGGCACCACUGUGUCCACAAAUGCAAGUUUUUACAGAUGAAUCUCCUGUUAGCAUGGCCGUGACAAACUCUAGCUCAAGUCCCCUCAAAGCCGUCAACAUGAUUUGCAUGGAAUUAAAGGAAAAAAUUAUUGAUAAGCACAGACUAGGUACAAGGGUUAAGGACUUGGCAAGUGAGUACAAGCGUAGCCCCUUUUCUAUAUGUACAAUACUAAAGCAAGAGGAGCCUAUAAAGGCUAUAGCGCCAGUAAAGGGCAUUACAAUAAUUUCUAAGCAGCAGACCUCUGUCACUGAAAAGAUGGAAAAGCUGCUGUUGACAUGGAUGAUGGAGAAACAGCUCACAGGAGAUACAAAGUGUAGUGAGAUAAAAAUUGUGCAUAACAGUUCUUAACCCUUUGACUGUUUUGGUCAUACAUAUAUGUCUUAUAAGCCAGUGUUUCGGACGUAUAUGUACUCAGUAAUUCUAGCGGCUUCAAAUCUAGCACGAGAAAGCUGGUAGGUCCACAUGUGAGAGAAUGGGUCUGUGUGGUCAGUGUACACCACAUAAAAAAAUUCUGCAGCACGCAGUGCAUAAUGAGAAAAAAUCUGACCGUUUUUUUGGAUUAAAACGCAGAAUUUGAGGUGCAUUUUCAUAUAGUAUUUAUCGUUGUAUUCUCAUUUUCAUGGUGUCAUGUGAUAAAAUGGAAAACAUAUUACAGAAAUAGAGAUGAUUUUUAUUAAUUUCACGAUGGAAACGACCUUGAAAUUGAGUUCAAAGUAGCGGAAAUGUUUGAUUUUUACCAAUGUUCAGGAGUAAGCAAAUCACACCACACGUCCAAUACACAUCAACUGGGGAGUCUAAAAUUCCUUUACUAGUGCACUGAUAUUAUUUAUACCAUUUUUACAAUAAUGCAGUAGUCUGCAUAACAGUAAAUCUUCUAUUUUUUGUAUAAAUAAAAAAUCAAAAUAGAGAGCAAUAGGAAUAUAAGAGGGGCCUAGAGAUGUGACUAAUGAACACAGGAUAUGUUAUUUUAGUGCCAAGAAUGUCUACAUUGUUUAUUCUGGACCCUAUUUUGAAAUUUGCAUCUUUUUUAAUUUGCAUGAAAUUGGCCAAAUGGCCAAUUUCUAACCACUUUAUUGGGUAGUUCAAAUCAGUAAAUGGGCAGUUUCUUGUACUCAGUUGACAGAAAAAAAAUAGAGUUCUAAAGAAAUAGCUAUGAGUUUGGUCAACUGGAACAACGGAAUUGGCCAAAAACAAGGCUGAAAGUCAGCGAAAUUGCCAAUGCGUAUAUAUCGCCGAGACUGCUAACUUUGCGGGAGCGUAAUUCCGUGAGUUCUCGACCAAAUUUUGUACUUUUGGUGUCAUUACCAUCGGGAAAAGAUUCUCUAUCAUUUCAUAAGAAAAAAAUAUUUGUUUUUUUUUUUUCCAAAAAUUUUGCGACAUAGAAUAACAGUUUCAGAAAGGGACUUGCGACAGUCAAAUUGUUAAGAAAAGUGUGAACUCUUGACAGGAUAUGCUGCUAUUUUUUUUAUUUUGCUACAAGUUUUUUUCUUGAAUUCUAUUGUUUCUCGUGUUCUUUAUCUUAGGGCUGGCACUCGUAACUUUCUUUGGCCCCAUGGUGGCUUAUUUAGCAGUUGCACUCAAUAAACAAGCACAAAAAACAACGGAUUAUUACGAAAUGUUUUGGAUGAACACCUGGGGUAAUGCUCACUCAACGAGAAACAAAGCCAAACUGAGUCAGAGCGCGUAGGAUACUUUGUGUGGGUGCAGGCAGGCAGACGCAUUUGGUACAAUGGACCAUUGUCAACUCUAUGGAAGCCAAGCAAAUGUACGAAGACUGGGGCAAAAUUUCGAUGAAAAAUGUCGUUGAAAACUAAAUCCUUUGAAAACCAGGGCAUACGAAAACCAAGGUUCCGCUGUAAUUUAUUAUUAACUGUUUUUAUGAUUUCAUUCACCAGCUUUUAUAUCACUGAUAAAUGUUUAAACUAGAUCUACAAUAAUUUAUUUUAAUUGCCACUUCUGUCCUUUCCUCCUCCUUUAUCCCUUACUACUCCAUCCUCCUCUUUUAUCCCUUACUCCUCCAUCUUUCUCCUUUUUUCCUUACUCGUCCGUCCUCCUCUUCCUCGCCGUCUUUCCUUCUCCCUUCUGUUUCCUUCCUUUAAUCCUCAGAUGAAACGAGACUACCCAUUGAUGGAAUUUUGACACAAUUAUACUCUACGAAAAAGAUGGUGUUAUGAAGUACAAGAGGCCUGGAAGUCAACCUCAAGCCAAAGGCACAAAGAGAAAAGUAAGUUUUCAUGAUGAAUCAAGUAGCUGCUCUUCAAGAAAAAGGAGAUCUCAUGCUGCAUUUAAUGAGGAUAAUUUCCCUGAUGGUUCAUAUGCAUGGAGUGACAAAGAUAACUGCUAUCAUGACGUGGGAGGUAUACCAGAGGAUUGGUCCAGUGAGUCUGUUGGCUACAACUUUGAUGAAAGCGACACUGAUUGAUGAGCCUUUUCCAGCAUGUGAGGCUCAUCAGCAGGCACACCAGAACAGCACCACCAUUGCUUCAAACAUGGGACUGAUUCUCAAUGUUAGGAGGACCUGCAGGAGAAGCUUUACAGAAAUAUGUGGUCAUUCAAAAUUUUUAUGGUUAUCUUGAUCAUGUCUCAUUGGAUGUUAUCUUUAUUGUGCAUAGUUCUAUUUUGCAGUGUCUUACUGAAUCUUAUUCUGUAAAUAAUCAACAACAAUUGAACCAUAAGAGUAGAUUGUAAACCAUUAUUGCCAGUUUUCUAUUUUGACAUGAUCAGAUUCUUCCCUUGACAUAUAGGGAGGUGAUAUUAUGUGAUUAAAAACGAAUUAAAGGCCUAUAUACAAAAACUGUGAGAAUCAUUUUUUUUUUAACAAAUG